CUUGGGAAGUACGCCGGCCAACGGUUAAACUUCAAAGNAAUUGACGGGGGCCCGCCACAAGCGGAAGGAACAUGUGGUUUAAAUUCGAUGAUACGCGAGGAACCNUUACCCGGGUUUUGAACGUAGGAAGACAAGGAAGUGGAAAACAUUCUUUUCAGCAAUUGACUGCCUAAGAAGGUGGCUUGCAUGGUUGUCGUCAGCUCGUGCCGUGAGGUGUCGGCUUAAGUGCCAUAACGAGCGCAACCUUUAUUUUCAAGUUACUAACAGGUGAUGCUGAAGGAACUCUGAAGAGACUGCCAGCGUAAGCUGUGAGGAAGGUGGGGAUGACGUCAAAAUCAGCACGGCCCUUACAUCCGGGGCGGACACACGUGUUACAAUGGUAAGGACAAAGGGCAAGCUACCGGGCGACCGGAUGCGAAUCUCUAAACCUUAUCUCAGUUCGGAUCGGAGUCUGCAACUCGACUCCGUGAAGCUGGAUUCGCUAGUAAUCGCGCAUCAGCCAUGGCGCGGUGAAUACGUU
rnacentral:rRNA from 1 species